rnacentral:misc_RNA from 1 species
UAAGUCUGGCGGGAAAGUGAG